GGGGCAGCAUGGUCUUAGCUUGCUAAGGCUGAUGGCGACCGGCGCACGGGUGAGUAACACGUAUCCAACCUGCCGUCUACUCUUGGCCAGCCUUCUGAAAGGAAGAUUAAUCCAGGAUGGCAUCAUGAGUUCACAUGUCCGCAUGAUUAAAGGUAUUUUCCGGUAGACGAUGGGGAUGCGUUCCAUUAGAUAGUAGGCGGGGUAACGGCCCACCUAGUCAACGAUGGAUAGGGGUUCUGAGAGGAAGGUCCCCCACAUUGGAACUGAGACACGGUCCAAACUCCUACGGGAGGCAGCAGUGAGGAAUAUUGGUCAAUGGGCGAUGGCCUGAACCAGCCAAGUAGCGUGAAGGAUGACUGCCCUAUGGGUUGUAAACUUCUUUUAUAAAGGAAUAAAGUCGGGUAUGCAUACCCGUUUGCAUGUACUUUAUGAAUAAGGAUCGGCUAACUCCGUGCCAGCAGCCGCGGUAAUACGGAGGAUCCGAGCGUUAUCCGGAUUUAUUGGGUUUAAAGGGAGCGUAGAUGGAUGUUUAAGUCAGUUGUGAAAGUUUGCGGCUCAACCGUAAAAUUGCAGUUGAUACUGGAUGUCUUGAGUGCAGUUGAGGCAGGCGGAAUUCGUGGUGUAGCGGUGAAAUGCUUAGAUAUCACGAAGAACUCCGAUUGCGAAGGCAGCCUGCUAAGCUGCAACUGACAUUGAGGCUCGAAAGUGUGGGUAUCAAACAGG
rnacentral:rRNA from 1 species